CCUACGGGAGGCUGCAGUGAGGAAUAUUGGUCAAUGGCCGUAAGGCUGAACCAGCCAAGUAGCGUGAGGGAAGACUGCCCUACGGGUUGUCAACUUCUUUUAUAAAGGAAUAAAGUGAGGCACGUGUGCCUUUUUGUAUGUACUUUAUGAAUAAGGAUCGGCUAACUCCGUGCCAGCAGCCGCGGUAAUACGGAGGAUGCGAGCGUUAUCCGGAUUUAUUGGGUUUAAAGGGUGCGUAGGCGGGCAUUUAAGCCGGCGGUCAAAUGUCGGGGCUCAACCCCGGCCUGCCGUCGGAACUGGGUGCCUUGAGUGGGCGAGAAGUAUGCGGAAUGCGUGGUGUAGCGGUAAAAUGCGUAAAUAUAUGUAAGAACACCAGUGGCGAAGGCGGCUUGCUGGGUCGAUACUGACAUUGAGGCACGAAAGCGUGGGGAGCAAACAGGAUUAGAUACCCGAGUAGUC
rnacentral:rRNA from 1 species